AGUGGCGAACGGGUGAGUAACACGUUGGUGACCUGCCCCGAAGUGAGGGAUAACACCGCGAAAGUGGUGCUAAUACCCCAUGUGACCCGAGGGAUUAGAUGCCCUUGGUGGAAAGGCGAAAGCCGCUUCGGGAGGGGCCUGCGGCCCAUCAGCUAGUUGGCAGGGUAAUGGCCUACCAAGGCGACGACGGGUAGGGGUCCUGAGAGGGUGGCCCCCCACACUGGCACUGAAACACGGGCCAGACACCUACGGGUGGCAGCAGUAGGGAAUAUUGGACAAUGGGCGAAAGCCUGAUCCAGCAACGCCGCGUGCGCGAUGACGGCCUUCGGGUUGUAAAGCGCUUUUCGGGGGGAUGAGGAAGGACAGUACCCCCGGAAUAAGUCUCGGCUAACUACGUGCCAGCAGCCGCGGUAAAACGUAGGAGGCAAGCGUUAUCCGGAUUUACUGGGCGUAAAGCGCGUGCAGGCGGUCAAGUAAGUCGGACGUGAAAGCUCCCGGCUCAACUGGGAGAGGCCGUUCGAUACUACUCGACUUGAGGGCAGUAGAGGAAGGUGGAAUUCCGGGUGUAGCGGUGAAAUGCGUAGAUAUCCGGAGGAACACCUGUGGCGAAAGCGGCCUUCUGGACUGCUCCUGACGCUCAGACGCGAAAGCUAGGGGAGCGAACGGGAUUAGAAACCCCGGUAGUCCUAGCUGUAAACGA
rnacentral:rRNA from 1 species